rnacentral:rRNA from 1 species
UACAGAGGUCUCAACCGUUGUUCGGAUUCACUGGGCGUAAAGGGUGCGUAGGUGGUCGGGUAAGUCUGAUGUGAAAUCUCCAAGCUCAACUUGGAAACUGCAUCGGAUACUAUUCGGCUUGAGGGUUGGAGGGGGGACUGGAAUGCUUGGUGUAGCAGUGAAGUGCGUAGAUAUCAAGCGGAACACCAGUGGCGAAGGCGAGUCCCUGGACAACUCCUGACACUGAGGCACGAAAGCUAGGGGAGCAAACAGG